rnacentral:tRNA from 1 species
GGGCCUGUAGCUUAGCGGUCCAAAGCCGCCCGCUCAUAACGGGUAGAGCGCAGGUUCGAAUCCUGCCGGGCCUA